AAUCUACCCAGUAGCGGGGGAUAGCCCGAGGAAACUCGGAUUAAUACCGCAUACGCCCUGAGGGGGAAAGGGGGCAGUUUACUGCUCUCACUAUUGGAUGAGCCUGCGUAAGAUUAGCUUGUUGGUAGGGUAAUGGCCUACCAAGGCGACGAUCUUUAGCUGGUCUGAGAGGACGAUCAGCCACAUUGGGACUGAGACACGGCCCAGACAUCUACGGAUGGCAGCAGUUAAGAAUAUUGGACAAUGGGGGCAACCCUGAUCCAGGUAUACCGCGUGUGUGAAGAAGGCCCUAGGGUUGUAAAGCACUUUAAUCAGAGAAGAAGCAGUUUAAGUUAAUACCUUAAUCUGUUGACGUUACCUGAAGAAUAAGGACCGGCUAACUCCGUGCCAGCAGCCGCGGUAAUACGGAGGGUCCAAGCGU
rnacentral:rRNA from 1 species